CAUGUUUCUAUUUCACACAAAAAAACGAAUUUUCAAUCAGCUAGAGUUAAAUUCUGUUUGCUGAUGAAAUUCAGUUUACCUUCACAUCGCGAAAAGGUGAACCUAAGGACAAAGUAGAAAAAAUUCUGCCGAGUAUUUGAAAAAAGUAGAUUAUCGUGGUUGAGUCGUAAUAACAUGGUAAAAAAAACUAUCGUCAUGGCAAAAAACACCCUGCUAAUCAUCGCAUUCUUGAUAAUUUUUAUUGUUUCAUAUACUCGGGCCGAUUGUAAAGCUACAUUUUCUGUAACUAAAGAAGAUAAUGAAAAAUCAGUCAUGGACGGAUAUCUUAAUAGUAGGAAUUCUAUAUAUGACAGAUUUAAAAACAUAAUGAAAGGAAGACUGGUAGAUCCAAUCUGCACCGCCAAAGAAGAAGUGCUGUCAGCUUUGUGCGAAUGCAUCACAAAAAAGAAACCCGACAACGCUAAGAAAUCAAAUAAAGGAAAAGAUGGGAAAGAAGAAUCAAAAAGUACGUGCACUUGGACUGUUUUAUCGAAACCAAAUGGAACCAGUUUGUACAAAUAUGCCAAUUUGUAUUCCUGCGGUGAUGUGUACAUAACGCAAGGAUAUGGAGCUUAUGAUGGAAAUCUCCACGAUGUUUAUGUAGUAGAAGUAAAGAAAAACGGAGAAGCAUCGUCCUUUAUUAUCAAAGAAGUCGCAAAUGGUAUCGAUUUCAAUGUUUUCAAGGAAGAGAAUCAUUCGUUUUGGAAUCAGCUGUAUCUUCAAGGGAUGUCAUGGCUUUUCAAUUUGGAUAAGCAUCUUUUUUAAAAUCUUGUCGUGUAAAAAUUUACUUUAUUGGAGACUAGGUGAAUGAAAAUAUACAUUAUUGCAGGCUAAAGUUUUCAA